rnacentral:rRNA from 1 species
AUUGAACGCUGGCGGCAUGCCUUACACAUGCAAGUCGAACGGCAGCACGGACUUCGGUCUGGUGGCGAGUGGCGAACGGGUGAGUAAUGUAUCGGAACGUACCCUUCAGUGGGGGAUAACUAUCCGAAAGGAUAGCUAAUACCGCAUAUUCUCUGAGGAGGAAAGCGGGGGAUCGCAGGACCUCGCGCUGAUGGAGCGGCGGAUAUCGGAUUAGCUAGUUGGUGGGGUAAAGGCCUACCAAGGCGACGAUCUGUAGCGGGUCUGAGAGGAUGAUCCGCCACACUGGGACUGAGACACGGCCCAGACUCCUACGGGAGGCAGCAGUGGGGAAUUUUGGACAAUGGGGGCAACCCUGAUCCAGCCAUGCCGCGUGAGUGAAGAAGGCCUUCGGGUUGUAAAGCUCUUUCGGCCGGGAAGAAAUCGCGUGAGUUAAUACCUUGCGUGGAUGACGGUACCGGAAUAAGACGCACCGGCUAACUACGUGCCAGCAGCCGCCGUAAAAC